rnacentral:lncRNA from 1 species
CCCGGCUCACUAGCUCGGCUCCGAGCUCCUCCUCCCGUUUCCGCUGGCAGGAGCUGGAGCCGUGUCCCGCCGUGCGGCUGCAGCUCCCCCAGGACUCGGCCCCAUCCGGCCCGGCCCAGCCCGGCUCGGCUCGGCUCGGCGCUCGGCUCCGAGCUCCUCCUCCCGUUUCCGCUGGCAGGAGCUGGAGCCGUGUCCCGCCGUGCGGCUGCAGCUCCCCCAGGACUCGGCCCCAUCCGGCCCGGCCCAGCCCGGCUCGGCUCGGCUCGGCUCGGCUCAGAUCAGAUCAGAUCAGGGAGGCGCGGGUUUUGUCCAGGAGUUUUCCACUGGCAUACAUAAAAAUACCACAGAAAGCACCCUGCAAUCUAGAAUGUCCUCUGACUCCACUGCUCCUGGAUAAG